CAUGCAAGUCGAACGGUAUUAUCGUUCUAUUUAUAGAAUGAUAAGAGAGUGGCGAACGGUNGAGUAGCACGUAGGUAAUCUGCUUAUCAAAUGGGANUAGCCAGUGGAAACACUGAGUAAUACCAAAUACGUACUAUGUGAGGAAUUGCAUAGUAGAAAGGGUACAUCUGUGCCGUUGAUAGAGGAGCCUGCGCUUGAUUAGCUAGCUGGUGGGGUAAGAGCCCACCAAGGCGACGAUCAAUAGCCGGCCUGAGAGGGUGAACGGCCACACUGGGACUGAGACACGGCCCAGACUCCUACGGGAGGCAGCAGCUAAGAAUCUUCCGCAAUGGGCGAAAGCCUGACGGAGCGACACCGCGUGAAUGAAGAAGGCCGUGAGGUUGUAAAAUUCUUUUCUUGUUGAGGAAUAAAUAUUAUGCGCAAGUGUAAUAUGAUGACGGUAGGCAAGGAAUAAGCCCCGGCUAAUUACGUGCCAGCAGCCGCGGUAAUACGUAAGGGGCGAGCGUUGUUCGGAAUUAUUGGGCGUAAAGGGUACGUAGGCGGAUUAACAGGCAUUAAGAUAAAGCCAACAGCUCAACUGUUGUUAAUUUUAAUGAACCGUUAAUCUAGAGUUAUAGAGGGGAAACUGGAACUCCUGGUGUAAGGGUGAAAUCUGUAGAUAUCAGGAGGAACAUCAGAGGCGAAGGCGAGUUUCUGGCUAAUAACUGACGCUGAGGUACGAAAGCGUGGGGAGCGAACGGGAUUAGAUACCCCGGUAGUCCACGCCGUAAAUGAUGUGCACUAGGUGGUGGAUCUGCGAAGAUUCACUACCGUAGCUAACGUGUUAAGUGCACCGCCUGGGGAGUAUGCUCGCAAGGG
rnacentral:rRNA from 1 species